rnacentral:lncRNA from 1 species
UAUCUACCAACACUACGAGAGUGAGGAAGCUUCAGAAUCAGAUGAAUAAUGAGACAAGAGCUUAUACUAUGUGUAUAUAUUCAACAUUGCAUGCCAGUGCAAUAUAUAAAUAUUACGCCGCUUCUUUAUGCGGCUUUGACGCCGGUGGGAAAAACCGGUGGAGGAGAGUAAACACGGCCAGCCACAUUCAUUUCCUCCAAUGUGCAAUGCCCGGGGCUCUUGCCGCCGGGGAUGUGCGUGCAGGGAUUCGCCGCCGAAGGUGGCACCGGACCCCUCUGCAGCGACUCCACAAGUGGAACUGGCAAUUCUUUCAGCCAUGCCUUGUAUUCACCUAAAGGCCUCAUCGCAUUUGCACUUUGGAAAUCACUAAAAAGAAACAUAAUUGUGACACUGAUGCAUAAAAUCUUGGAGCUGUUCUUGAGGAACCACAUUUUUGUUUAUUACACAGAGCUACUCAAGUAUAGUUAUUCUCAAGUACAGUAUAUAAAAUGAAAUGAAGGAAAUUAAUGAGUUGUGAGUACUUGUGUGCUU